CGGAGUGUAGCUCAGAUGGCUAGAGUGCGCGCUUCGGGUGCGCGAGGUCGCUGGUUCGAGUCCAGUCACUCCGA
rnacentral:tRNA from 1 species